rnacentral:rRNA from 1 species
AGUGAACGCUGGCGGUAGGCCUAACACAUGCAAGUCGAACGGCAGCACAGUAGAAGCUUGCUCUUACGGGUGGCGAGUGGCGGACGAGUGAGGAAUACAUCGGAAUCUACUUUUUCGUGGGGGAUAACGUAGGGAAACUUACGCUAAUACCGCAUACGACCUACGGGUGAAAGCAGGGGAUCUUCGGACCUUGCGCGAUUGAAUGAGCCGAUGUCGGAUUAGCUAGUUGGCGGGGUAAAGGCCCACCAAGGCGACGAUCCGUAGCUGGUCUGAGAGGAUGAUCAGCCACACUGGAACUGAGACACGGUCCAGACUCCUACGGGAGGCAGCAGUGGGGAAUAUUGGACAAUGGGCGCAAGCCUGAUCCAGCCAUACCGCGUGGGUGAAGAAGGCCUUCGGGUUGUAAAGCCCUUUUGUUGGGAAAGAAAAGCAGCAGGUUAAUACCCCGCUGUUCUGACGGUACCCAAAGAAUAAGCACCGGCUAACUUCGUG